CACGUAGGGCGCAAGCGUUGUCCGGAAUUAUUGGGCGUAAAGAGCUCGUAGGCGGUCCGUCACGUCCGCUGUGAAAACCCAGGGCUCAACCCUGGGCUUGCAGUGGAUACGGGCAGACUAGAGGUAGGUAGGGGAGAAUGGAAUUCCUGGUGUAGCGGUGAAAUGCGCAGAUAUCAGGAGGAACACCGAUGGCGAAGGCAGGUCUCUGGGCAUUAACUGACGCUGAGGAGCGAAAGCAUGGGGAGCGAACAGG
rnacentral:rRNA from 1 species